GCCUCCUGCAGUGCCACGCUCCGUGUAUUUGACAAGCUGAGUUGGACACUCCAUGUGGUAGAGUGUCAGUUUGUCAAAUACCCCAAGUGCGGCACAUGC
ensembl:miRNA microRNA 223